rnacentral:rRNA from 1 species
GACGAACGCUGGCGGCGUGCCUAAUACAUGCAAGUUGAGCGCUGAAGGUUGGUACUUGUACCGACUGGAUGAGCAGCGAACGGGUGAGUAACGCGUGGGGAAUCUGCCUUUGAGCGGGGGACAACAUUUGGAAACGAAUGCUAAUACCGCAUAAAAACUUUAAACACAAGUUUUAAGUUUGAAAGAUGCAAUUGCAUCACUCAAAGAUGAUCCCGCGUUGUAUUAGCUAGUUGGUGAGGUAAAGGCUCACCAAGGCGAUGAUACAUAGCCGACCUGAGAGGGUGAUCGGCCACGUUGGGACUGAGACACGGCCCAAACUCCUACGGGAGGCAGCAGUAGGGAAUCUUCGGCAAUGGACGAAAGUCUGACCGAGCAACGCCGCGUGAGUGAAGAAGGUUUUCGGAUCGUAAAACUCUGUUGGUAGAGAAGAACGUUGGUGAGAGUGGAAAGCUCAUCAAGUGACGGUAACUACCCAGAAAGGGACGGCUAACUACGUG